GAGGGAGGUUGGAGGGAAGGAGAGAGAGAGGGAGAAGGUUGGAGGGAGGGAGAGAGAAAGGGAGAAGGUUGGAGGGAGGGAGGUUGGAGGGAAGGAGAGAGAGAGGGAGGAGGUUGGAGGGAGGGAGAGAGAAAGAAAGGGAGAAGGUUGGAGGGAGGGAGAGAGGAAAGGAGAGAGAGAGGGAGAAGGUUGGAGGGAGGGAGAGAGAAAGGAAGAAGGUUGGAGGGAGGGAGAGAGGGAGGUUGGAGGGAAGGAGAGAGAGAGGGAGAAGGUUGGAGGGAGGGAGAGAGAAAGGGAGAAGGUUGGAGGGAGGGAGGUUGGAGGGAAGGAGAGAGAGAGGGAGAAGGUUGGAGGGAGGGAGAGAGAAAGAAAGGGAGAAGGUUGGAGGGAGGGAGAGAGGAAAGGAGAGAGAGAGGGAGAAGGUUGGAGGGAGGGAGAGAGAAAG
ensembl:lncRNA